UAACUGUUUUAGUAAAAACGAUCAAAGUAACUUCGACUUUUCACUGUUCAACAGAGUCAACAAGAAACAUAUUGACAGUAUUCGAAUAAGCUAAAUUGAGUGAAGAUGCCGCCACCAAUAUCAUCGAACAUUUCUACUUUACGCAAAUCGGUUUGGUGCGGGAAUUCAUUUACAACGGCGCAAAUUAAAAGAAGAGUUGGUGAAGGAAUAAUCAGCCUACAGAGUGGACCUCUGCACUAACCACCGAUUCAGAUGAUAGGCCGUCCAAUCGAAUUUGCCUCUCAUUUUGCAGUUCACGAUUAUUGAUGAGUGCAGGCGAAAAAUUCCUAACAGUAAAGGGAUUGGCAACAUCCGCGACGGAGAACCGGAAUUACAACUGGGUAUUCCAGGGGCUAAUGAAACUGAUGCCGUAGACACUUCUUAAAAGUCUGAAGUCCGAAGUUGUGGUCUUGAGGUCUCAACUAUGCCAAUCUUCGAUGCGCAGUCUUCAAAGUCAUGGGUUUCGAAUAAGACUCUCAUCCUGCUGUGCACAUUUGGGAAGGAUUGGCUAUCGUUGAUCGACUAAAAAAGCACCACUUCGUCUUGGGAGCGUACAUAACGAUUAAAUAAUCAAUUAAAAUAAUGAAACUAUUCU